rnacentral:tRNA from 1 species
GUGGGUAUAGCUCAUAGGCAGAGUGUGUGCUUAGCGUGCUCGAGGUCCCGGGUUCAAUCCCUAGUACCUCCA